AGUUACAUCAGUUUAACACACCAAAAGCCCUGUGCUGAGAGGACUGAACAAGGAGAGAUGCCGAAAACCAUCUGUUAAUAAUGAAUCAUCUGGCAUAGUAACAUCAACAAACUGAACUCUAUUCAUUGACUGUUAUAACAGGACAUCAUUACUGGGACUUGUGAGGAUUCAUCACAAGAAGAUGGGCUCCUUAAGACUGGACAACAUGCAGGCUCUUCUAAAACUUCUCUUUUGCUUUCUGCUUCUAGCAAAAGGUGGUUGCUUGAAAUGUGAAAUCUGUGUGAGCAACAGCACUUCCUGUACCGGUCCCAAGCAGAACUGCACUAAAGGGGACACCUGCAUCGUUGCAAUUACGAUAUCUACUAUGGGUCCCUGAGUACAAUUUUGAGAAAAAGUGUGGCUUUUCCUCUUCGUGUGAUAACUCCCAGAUGUACUACAAUGUGGGGAAUGGACAAAUGUUCCGCCACAAACAAUACUGCUGCACUGAGGAAACCUGCUCCAAAAUUUCACCAACAUUGCCAACGUUACAGAAAGACCCGGAAGGGAAAAAAUGCCCUGCUUGCAACAGCUUGGGGGAGCCCUGCAAAGAGGACAGCAAAGUGGAAUGUUCUGGCGACGAUCCUGAAUGCUUUAUUCUAACUAUGAACCUGACUCUUGAUGGAGAACUUAUCCAGCACAUUAUGAAAGGAUGCAGUUCCAAAAAUAUGUGCGAUAUCAUGCAAAGUGGCGUAGAGUCCGUACUAGAUCGGAACGUAAUCAAGUGUAUCUUUUCGGGGGUAUCUCAAGUUCUGGCAUGCUUCCUGACAACUUUCUCCAGCCUUUGGAUCUUGAAGUUACUUGUCUAAGUGAAAUAAGCACAGGACUGGAGUGGCUCAGCUCUGCUCUGAAGUAUUGCCUCCCUUACACUCCAUAUUCCAUAUUGCACGGCCUUCCUACAGUCUGUAGCUUCUCGGCUCGUAAUUCACUUUUUUCUCCCCCUUCCCCUGUGGAGUUCAGUAAAAAAAUAAACUCCAGGUUUAAAAGAAACAGGAUUUGAAUGUUUUGCUGUCUAUUGAUAGAACUUGG